CGCUAGAAAGGAACCGAUCUCAUCUUCGGCAUUUCCAAUUCUAUCUUUCGGGAAUGAAUUGUUUUCGACUUUCUAGCG
rnacentral:tmRNA from 1 species